rnacentral:rRNA from 1 species
UUACACAUGCAAGUCGAACGGUGAUGUCAGAGCUUGCUCUGGCGGAUCAGUGGCGAACGGGUGAGUAACACGUGAGUAACCUGCCCCCGACUCUGGGAUAACUGCUAGAAAUGGUAGCUAAUACCGGAUAUGACGAUUGGCCGCAUGGUCUGGUCGUGGAAAGAAUUUCGGUUGGGGAUGGACUCGCGGCCUAUCAGGUUGUUGGUGAGGUAAUGGCUCACCAAGCCUACGACGGGUAGCCGGCCUGAGAGGGUGACCGGCCACACUGGGACUGAGACACGGCCCAGACUCCUACGGGAGGCAGCAGUGGGGAAUAUUGCACAAUGGGCGAAAGCCUGAUGCAGCAACGCCGCGUGAGGGAUGACGGCCUUCGGGUUGUAAACCUCUUUUAGUAGGGAAGAAGCGAAAGUGACGGUACCUGCAGAAAAAGCACCGGCUAACUACGUGCCAGCAGCCGCGGUAAUACGUAGGGUGCAAGCGUUGUCCGGAAUUAUUGGGCGUAAAGAGCUCGUAGGCGGUUUGUCGCGUCUGCUGUGAAAUCCCGAGGCUCAACCUCGGGUCUGCAGUGGGUACGGGCAGACUAGAGUGCGGUAGGGGAGAUUGGAAUUCCUGGUGUAGCGGUGGAAUGCGCAGAUAUCAGGAGGAACACCGAUGGCGAAGGCAGAUCUCUGGGCCGUAACUGACGCUGAGGAGCGAAAGCAUGGGGAGCGAACAGGAUUAGAUACCCUGGUAGUCCAUGCCGUAAACGUUGGGAACUAGAUGUGGGGACCAUUCCACGGUCUCCGUGUCGCAGCUAACGCAUUAAGUUCCCCGCCUGGGGAGUACGGCCGCAAGGCUAAAACUCAAAGGAAUUGACGGGGGCCCGCACAAGCGGCGGAGCAUGCGGAUUAAUUCGAUGCAACGCGAAGAACCUUACCAAGGCUUGACAUAUACCGGAAACAUGCAGAAAUGUGUGCCCCGCAAGGUCGGUAUACAGGUGGUGCAUGGUUGUCGUCAGCUCGUGUCGUGAGAUGUUGGGUUAAGUCCCGCAACGAGCGCAACCCUCGUUCUAUGUUGCCAGCACGUAAUGGUGGGAACUCAUAGGAGACUGCCGGGGUCAACUCGGAGGAAGGUGGGGAUGACGUCAAAUCAUCAUGCCCCUUAUGUCUUGGGCUUCACGCAUGCUACAAUGGCCGGUACAAAGGGCUGCGAUACCGUAAGGUGGAGCGAAUCCCAAAAAGCCGGUCUCAGUUCGGAUUGAGGUCUGCAACUCGACCUCAUGAAGUCGGAGUCGCUAGUAAUCGCAGAUCAGCAACGCUGCGGUGAAUACGUUCCCGGGCCUUGUACACACCGCCCGUCAAGUCAUGAAAGUCGGUAACACCCGAAGCCAGUGGCCUAACCGCAAGGGAGGAGCUGUCGAA